AAUGCUCGUUUGUUCGCUUUUUUCCCAAAACCAAUCGCUCAGACUAAAACACCGUACCAGCUUUAGUAUGACGUCAAGAUGACAUAUCAAUGUCAUCUAUCCUUGUUUUGAUUGGCUAAAAUACCAUCUACUUGAAUUCCGAUUGGUUUAUAAUUUUGGCACUUGAAUGGCUUUUAUUCAACUGACAAUCGCCAUGAAGAUGUUAAAUUCGUAAAUACUUUCAAGUUCUAUAAAUUCAGGCGUAUAUUCCUCACGGUUAAACCAACCAAGGACUACCUGAGGGUCAUGCUUGAUGCUAAAGGCUGGAAGACAUAAGAAUAGGCAAAUGUAGCUGGCUUUCUUACUUUGAUACAGCAGUAUAAGUGUAAUAGGGUUUUUAGAGCAAGAUACUUUGUGUCAAUGAUACUGUAAUUCUGUAAAUCAUUUUUUAUCAACCUGAAGAUAAUGAGGAAAGGGGAAAUGAUAGGAGAGUGCUCAAUCAAGUUGUUGCAAUACUGUUAAAGUUUUUAUCAAAAAUAUAGUCCCAGUUUCUUUUUUC